ACUCACAGUAGUGCCCCCCAGGGCUCAUCUGAGGGCCAGCCAUCGCUUGGUCUGCUUGCUGAGAACGAAUGCUGUGUGGCCAGAGAGCUGCAUCACCAGUUGGAGAAACUUUAGGCAGCAGAAGAACCAGGAGCAACUCUGACCCUUCUUGAAAUCAAGCAAAGACAGUGACCAUGAUUUGGAGAAACUUUUCUGCUUCAGUGGCAUCCUAUGGAUGUGUGAGGCACGAGGAUGAACCUAUCCCCACCUUCUGUCUCUAUUGAGCCCCAGCUUGUUCCUCCUUACCCUCCAGAAUCCUGCUGGAUGGAGCCCUAUGGCAGUGAUGUUUGUGCUGUGCUCUGUUCUCAUUUGGGCUGUAAAACAUUCUGGCAGAAUUAAGUGAAUUCACAUUUUCUCUCUUUCUGGAGAGAAAGGGGAGAGCUGAGCUUGCUCGGUGAGAAAAAGUCUCUGAAGGGAUGGCAAUGUGCCUUUGCACCUAGGACAAAGGUGAUGCUACUACUCCCAGAUCCUUAUAUAUGACUUAAUUCCUGUUAAUUUUAUAGUAGAUAAAUGUCAAAAGUGGAGGCAGACAUUUGCAGUCUCAUGGGUUUGAACCCUGCUCACAAAUGCUAAUGAUAAGACCUUUUUUUCUGUGUAUUUGCAGCAACAAAUGGAAACCUCGGAGGUAAUAUUGUCAGAGAUAACAUGAUGAUGGUGGAAGGCAGCAUGGAAAUAUAGCCAAUAUCUUGGGGCUGGGAGGAACUUUUUAUAAACCUCUUACUUAGAUCUUCCUUUAAUAUUCUGUCUGUUUCUGUGCUUAUAAUAAAAAACGCUUGAUCUACAACUGUUUUGGCUUGAAAAUAGGUAUAUUAUGCAAAAGAGUGGGAUGCUUUACAUUUUCGGAAGUUUU